rnacentral:lncRNA from 10 species
ACCCGGGAGGCAGAGCUUGCAGUGAGUGGAGAUCGCACCACUGCACUCCAGCCUAGGCAACAGAGCAAGACUCCGUCAAAAAAAAAAAAAAAGAAAAAAAAAUCCCUGUGAACAACUUACAGCAAAAAUGAAACAAAUGAAAAAUAAGCUUCGUGUACUACAGAAGGAACUAACAGAAGCAAAAGAAAUAAAAUCAUAGAGAAUCAAAAACUUAAAAGAGAACAAGAGCUCUGCAGUGUGAGAUUGACUUUAAACCAAGAAGAAGAGAAGAAAUGCCAAUAUAUUAAAUGAAAAAAUUAGGGAAGAAUUAGGAAAAAUCGAAGAGCAACAAAAGAAAAAGUUAGAAGUGAAGCAACUUGAACUCACUCUCCGAAUAUACAAAAUAUGGAAUUGAAGACUGUAAGAAGUAAUUUGAAUCAGCUCAAUCAAUCGCUGCGAUGUAUGAAAGAUCUAAUUUCUCUACGGCCU